rnacentral:rRNA from 1 species
GAUGAACGCUGGCGGCGUGCCUAAUACAUGCAAGUCGAGCGAAUGGAUUAAGAGCUUGCUCUUAUGAAGUUAGCGGCGGACGGGUGAGUAACACGUGGGUAACCUGCCCAUAAGACUGGGAUAACUCCGGGAAACCGGGGCUAAUACCGGAUAACAUUUUGAACCGCAUGGUUCGAAAUUGAAAGGCGGCUUCGGCUGUCACUUAUGGAUGGACCCGCGUCGCAUUAGCUAGUUGGUGAGGUAACGGCUCACCAAGGCAACGAUCCGUAGCCGACCUGGGAGGGUGAUCGGCCACACUGGGACUGAGACACGGCCCAGACUCCUACGGGAGGCAGCAGUAGGGAAUCUUCCGCAAUGGACGAAAGUCUGACGGAGCAACGCCGCGUGAGUGAUGAAGGCUUUCGGGUCGUAAAACUCUGUUGUUAGGGAAGAACAAGUGCUAGUUGAAUAAGCUGGCACCUUGACGGUACCUAACCAGAGAGCCACGGCUAACUACGUGCCAGCCGCCGCAGUAA